GUACUGCAUUGGUUGUUCUUUGUGGAGGGGACGAGUGCCAGGCACCUUUAUUCAGCCAUAUUGAAGCCCCUCCCAUCCAUUAAUACUAUGCAAGAUGGAAAAUUCUUAAAUGUUUUAAAUGAAGGCUGAAGAGAACCAGUAAAGAAAGAUUUAAAGUAUGAAGGAGCAAUAAUAUGCCCCCACCAAUGUCUUUUCCUACUAAACUCAUCAAAACAAGUCACAGA
rnacentral:lncRNA from 1 species